ensembl:lncRNA
CUUCAAGCGAAGAGGAGAGAUUCGCGAUUGCACUGAACACGUUUUAAGUGCAGAUUCAGUGCCAGAAGAGACGUCACCAGUGCACACUGUACUUCUCUAAACCUCUUAACCUCAGACACUUCAACAUCAGACAUCAGAGCUGCACCGGAGAUUCACUAGAUUCAGAUCAUCACAAGAGAUGAUGGAAAAUAGUUUAAAAGAAAUUAAUUCAUGGGAGAAGAUCUGUGCAGCAUCACAAACUGCAGGAGAAUUAAACAGAGAGGAAAAGAAACAUGGCAAACAAAGUGGACGAGAUACAAUGUAAUGAACCAGAAGAGAAGAAGAUCCUGAGACGAGUCAGACGGAACAGUAUUAAUAGUGGAAGACCAAACUUUUGUGAUGAUGCAGAAAGUUUUAUUCAGAGAGACUCACAGACGAGACAGGAGCAGCUCCUUUCACCAGACCAGCAGAAUAUACUUUAUAUUCAGUCUCUAACUAAACACUGCUUUUUUUUAGAUAGUUUGUUGUAUUUUUGUGUUACUGUAUAUUCAAAAUAUUAUAGACCUACUGUAUAUAACAAGCCAAUAUCAACUAAUAUCAACUUCAUUCACUGUACAAUUUUACACUGUAUAAAACUAAGAACUGGAGCAUUAUCUGGAAUACUAUUGUUGAAAUUUACUAGCAAUUUGUUUUACUGUAUGAUGCUAUGUUUCUAAAACUAUUACAAUAUUUCAUAGUGACAAAAAUGUAUGUUUAAAAAAAAGUGUAUUUUAUAAAACUAAUUUUAUGAUUUUUAUUGCAAUACAUCUGUAUAUACUGAUAAAAAAUAAAAUAUUUUUCUCUUCAAUA